rnacentral:rRNA from 1 species
CGGUAACAGGGGUAGCUUGCUACCCGCUGACGAGCGGCGGACGGGUGAGUAAUGCAUAGGAAUCUGCCCGAUAGUGGGGGAUAACCUGGGGAAACCCAGGCUAAUACCGCAUACGUCCUACGGGAGAAAGGGGGCUUUGGCUCCCGCUAUUGGAUGAGCCUAUGUCGGAUUAGCUAGUUGGUAAGGUAAUGGCUUACCAAGGCAACGAUCCGUAGCUGGUCUGAGAGGAUGAUCAGCCACAUCGGGACUGAGACACGGCCCGAACUCCUACGGGAGGCAGCAGUGGGGAAUAUUGGACAAUGGGGGCAACCCUGAUCCAGCCAUGCCGCGUGUGUGAAGAAGGCCCUCGGGUUGUAAAGCACUUUCAGCGAGGAAGAACGCCUGUCGGUUAAUACCCGGUAGGAAAGACAUCACUCGCAGAAGAAGCACCGGCUAACUCCGUGCCAGCAGCCGCGGUAAUACGGAGGGUGCAAGCGUUAAUCGGAAUUACUGGGCGUAAAGCGCGCGUAGGUGGCUUGAUAAGCCGGUUGUGAAAGCCCCGGGCUCAACCUGGGAACGGCAUCCGGAACUGUCAGGCUAGAGUGCAGAGAGGAAGGUAGAAUCCCGGUGUAGCGGUGAAAUGCGUAGAGAUCGGGAGGAAUACCAGUGGCGAGCGCUCUGGACUGACACUGACACUGAGGUGCGAAAGCGUGGUAGCAAACAG